UACGAAGGGGGCUAGCGUUGCUCGGAAUCACUGGGCGUAAAGGGUGCGUAGGCGGGUCUUUAAGUCAGGGGUGAAAUCCUGGAGCUCAACUCCAGAACUGCCUUUGAUACUGGCAAUCUCGAGUCCGGGAGAGGUGAGUGGAACUGCGAGUGUAGAGGUGAAAUUCGUAGAUAUUCGCAAGAACACCAGUGGCGAAGGCGGCUCACUGGCCCGGUACUGACGCUGAGGUGCGAAAGCGUGGGGAGCAGACAGG
rnacentral:rRNA from 1 species